rnacentral:rRNA from 1 species
GACAGGGGGCCCGAGCGUUAGUCGGAAUUACUGGGCUUAAAGGGUGCGUAGGCGGGCCCGUAAGUGUCGCGUGAAAGCCCAUCGCUCAACGAUGGAACCGCGCGGCAAACUGCGGGUCUCGAGGAAGGUAGAGGCGGGUGGAACGCUUGGUGGAGCGGUGGAAUGCGUAGAUAUCAAGCGGAACGCCGAAGGUGAAGACAGCCCGCUGGGCCUUUCCUGACGCUGAGGCACGAAAGCGUGGGGAGCAAACAGG